GACGAACGCUGGCGGCGUGCUUAACACAUGCAAGUCGAACGGUAAGGCCCUUCGGGGUACACGAGUGGCGAACGGGUGAGUAACACGUGGGUGAUCUGCCCUGCACUUCGGGAUAAGCCUGGGAAACUGGGUCUAAUACCGGAUAGGACCACUGCCUGCAUGGGUGGUGGUGGAAAGCUUUUGCGGUGUGGGAUGGGCCCGCGGCCUAUCAGCUUGUUGGUGGGGUGAUGGCCUACCAAGGCGACGACGGGUAGCCGGCCUGAGAGGGUGACCGGCCACAUUGGGACUGAGAUACGGCCCAGACUCCUACGGGAGGCAGCAGUGGGGAAUAGUGCACAAUGGGCGCAAGCCCGAUGCAGCGACGCCGCGUGAGGGAUGACGGCCUUCGGGUUGUAAACCUCUUUCAGCACCGACGAAGCGCAAGUGACGGUAGGUGCAGAAGAAGGACCGGCCAACUACGUGCCAGCCGCCGCGGUAA
rnacentral:rRNA from 1 species